AAUAGAUACCCGGGUAGUCCACGCCGUAAACGAUGAAUGCUAGGUGUUAGGGGUUUCGAUACCCUUGGUGCCGAAGUUAACACAUUAAGCAUUCCGCCUGGGGAGUACGGUCGCAAGACUGAAACUCAAAGGAAUUGACGGGGACCCGCACAAGCAGUGGAGUAUGUGGUUUAAUUCGAAGCAACGCGAAGAACCUUACCAGGUCUUGACAUCCCUCUGACCGGUCUAGAGAUAGACCUUUCCUUCGGGACAGAGGAGACAGGUGGUGCAUGGUUGUCGUCAGCUCGUGUCGUGAGAUGUUGGGUUAAGUCCCGCAACGAGCGCAACCCUUGAUUUUAGUUGCCAGCACUUCGGGUGGGCACUCUAGAAUGACUGCCGGUGACAAACCGGAGGAAGGCGGGGAUGACGUCAAAUCAUCAUGCCCCUUAUGACCUGGGCUACACACGUACUACAAUGGCCAAUACAACGGGAAGCGAAGCCGCGAGGUGGAGCCAAUCCUAUCAAAGCUGGUCUCAGUUCGGAUUGCAGGCUGC
rnacentral:rRNA from 1 species